CGGGUGAGUAACGCGUGGAUAACCUGUCUCACACUGGGGGAUAACAGUUAGAAAUGACUGCUAAUACCGCAUAAGCGCACAGUACCGCAUGGUACAGUGUGAAAAACUCCGGUGGUGUGAGAUGGAUCCGCGUCUGAUUAGCCAGUUGGCGGGGUAACGGCCCACCAAAGCGACGAUCAGUAGCCGACCUGAGAGGGUGACCGGCCACAUUGGGACUGAGACACGGCCCAA
rnacentral:rRNA from 1 species